CCAUGUGGCAAUGAACUGAGGAAAGCCUCCUGCUUACAGUCAGCAACCAACUGAGGUCUUCAGCCCAAUAAUUCACUGGGAACUGAAUUUUGCCAACAACCAUUUCAACUUGGAGGUGCAUCUUUCCCCAGUUGAGCCUUGAGGCCAUCCCAUCUUCUCCAAAGAUUCCCAAGGGCUCUUAAAUGAUCCUUGCUGGCUAGCUUUUCCUGGGCCGGACUGAGGAAUCCACCAAACCUCAGUAAGGUGAUCAUUACAGUAACUCUCUGCAUGGCUCUUGAAAACCUCCUUGUAUACAGUCUAGACCUUUCUACCUUCUCCCUACUGUCAAUGUUUCCCAUCCCCCCAGCUACUGGCUAUCCCAUGCUCAACAGACUCUUAGUCUUCAUUGAGUCACACUGAAGCUGAGAUAAAUCUGCUUCCUUGUUCCAUCAUAUUCUUAUUGAUCACCCUGAAUGGAGCUGACUCUCCAUUCCCCUAUGGGCAGGGACAUCUGAAAUGUGCCACUCCCCAGCCCCAGAUAGGAGCCUAUGGGGAUAAAGAGCCCUCAAACUUGAUCCAUUUUGGAAGCUGACUACAUCUCUCUUUGUGUUCUCUCCUCCUGCUUAGAUCUAAGCAUGCCUCUUAGUCUAAAACAGAACCAUGGUGUACCAGCACGAAGUUCCUCACUAAGGGGAGGCCUUUUUACUAGUUCACGGAGUUUACUUAAUGGUGAGACUUUCACCUCCAUGAGGAAAGAAACUGCAUCUGCCUUGUUUGAUACUCUACCCACACGCCUUGCACUAAACCUGAUAGAUAAUAGGUGCUCAUUAAAGACCUGUUGAGUGAAUAAAUAAUUCUGGUGUGAAUCUCAUCCCUUGUGUGAGGAUUUUACAACUGCAACUCUCAGUGGCCAUAAGUCAUGGUCUGCACAUUGUACGUUUCCCUAAGAGCACACAGGGUCUUGCUCCUUUUUAGGUUCAUACCAUAGUUUCUGGCUCCAAGUUCUCAAUACAUACAUGAAUUGACUUUAAUUUGUCCAUUCCACUUUUUAUCUCACUCAAGAAGUAAUCUUGGCAGAAAUUGCACAAUUUUGAAGAAUGUUGGUGCCACUACUACUAAACUUGUA